CUUUGCUGUUGGUGGGGGCAGGGAGCAUGGUACAGGGGUGACUGAGUUCCUGCUUUGUUAGUUCCCACUGAAACUGAUUGACAAAAAGGGCCUGGCACCUCUCUCUUCUCUCUCUUUCUCUCUCUCACCAUGUGAUCUAUGCAUGCCUGUUCCCGUCUGCUUGCACUAAGAAUGGAAACAGCCUAAGUUCCUCACCAGAAGCAGAGGCUGGCACCAUGUUUGUUAUGCAGCCUGCAGAACCAGAAAUCAUGGGAAAAACUGCCCAUUUCUGUUUUGUCCACUUUGCUUUGGGAAGUGAGAGCUAUAGUCAUUAUCACCACAUCCCCUGGCAUCCAAUUCCGAUUAAUAAUUCAAUUCCAGCUUUCCUGGAAGCCAGAAGUCAAAAUAUACUUGGGAUUUCUAUAAAUAUUUUUUAAUUAUGACCAUCGAACUCCAAGUACUUCAGAUUUGGAACUCGGACUGCUUUCCUUGCUCCUCAGCCUGCAGAUGGCCUAUUGUGGGACCUUGUGAUUAUGUAGUGAGACGAGCAUGAGUGGAGCAGGAGACGGCUGUCCCCCACCCACAAGGAAUAUCAGAUGAUGGUUCAGCGAUCAUCACAUUGCCUCUCUGAAAGUGAUAAAUUGGCAGCUGGCACCAGGGAGAGGCUAUUUCCUGAUGGCCCACACCUGUUGCACUAAGAUGUUAAUCGAAUGCAGAUUCCAGGGAGAAACAACUUCCUGGGCAUGUGCGUAAGAGACAAAAUGGCAGGUAUGACCUUCUGGGGACACUCCACCAGAAAAGGGAAGAAAACCUCAGAUGGGCAUGCAUAUAACUUCCUAAACACACUGCUCACACUCUCCUCCCAAGGGUAAGGAGGGCACUGCACAUGCAGGCAGCCCAUCCUAAGGGAAGCAUCCUGGGAAAGGGGUCAGUCUAUAUGGUUCUGGGAUCAAGAUUAAACACCACAUUAGACCUUCAAGUUGCCCACUUGGGUCUCUUCUAUGUGUAUUUUUCUUUCCUUUCUUUUCUGCUCUAAAGCUUUUUUAAAUAAACAUACACAUCCCUCCUCUGAAA
rnacentral:lncRNA from 1 species